CCUUCGGUAGCUCAGUUGGUAGAGCGGUGGACUGUAGUGGUGUAAACGUCAUAGAUAUCCAUAGGUCGCUGGUUCAAAUCCGGCCCGAAGGA
rfam:Acyrthosiphon pisum strain LSR1 Contig37022, whole genome shotgun sequence.